CUCCAAUCAGCGGCCGCGCUGCCGGGCAGGGGUUAACCAGGGCACCCCGCGCCGGCUGAGGAGGCCGCACCUCGCCGGACGGCUGAGGGCGGGCGACGGGCGGCGCCGGCGGACGGGCCGCGACGCCAGGGAAGGUCAGGCGGCCCGGGGCGUCCUGCGACUGCCCGAGGUCGGAGGCCCGGAGGACCCGCCGCCGCCUUUGUGUCACCAGCCCCCGCCCCGCUGGACUGGCCCGGGCCGGGGCGGUUGGGCCGGCGCUGAAGAGGCUUGGCCGCCCGGGUCCACCCGUUCCCGGAUCCGCCUCGGCGGCCCCCGCGCCCGCCCAACCCCUGCCCAACCCCUCGGCUCCGCGAGUUUGGGUGAGAAGUGCGGCGGCUUUUCCCAGGGAUGGAGUUUAGAGGACGCUAAUCCUAUGUGCGAGCGGCGGACCCCGCCCGGAUUUCCCGGAGGCGCCCGGUUAGUGAGGCGACGGCGCCCACCCGCGUUCGCGGGCUCCCGACCGCCACUCCCCGGAGCCGCCGGCCCGCCCCAGCCCCGCGCGUCGCCCCGGAGGGCGGGCUGCACUCCCUCCACGCACCUGGCUGGCAGAGCGUCUCCAGGGACAAAAGGUGCCCUGGCAUCAAAGCCGAGCCCCCGCCCCCGCCGGGAUGCUGCCCUCCGGAAGGAGGGGCGCUGCCCCCAAGGUACUCUCCCCGGGCACCCAGGGGGAGGUUCCAUUUCAACCUCCGAUGAAAAACACGGCCCUCCCGGGUAUUUAGGAGGGUCUGAGGGUAAGUGCCAAGAUGGAGAAAACACACCGGCCCCUCACAGAGUAUCUCCUGAGGAAUGACAACUAUCUAGUGGGCAAGGAGGGCUUCCUGCAUAGCAGAGGGCACCCCCUCUGAUCCCCCAACGCCAAGGGAAAAAAAUCACUCUUCACCGGCUCCCCUGAGCCAGGACAGGCUCCAGUGCAGCCACCCACCUUAUAAUUUUCCGCGGAUGCUGCCUUGAUCAGAUAGAUCUGAAGAUGACUUUAAGGACUACAAGCAAAUCUCAAGGGAAAAAUUCAGACCUUGAACAACAGCCUUGAACUUUUUCAGGGUUAGACAAGUACUCCCCUGUGGAGUUUCUGCCCUUAUUUCUUCGUUCUUCUGUUAAUUCUUCCAUAUUUUAACAGAACACAGACCUGCCGAAACGACACAGGAUGGCGCUUUGCUUUUUGUUAGUUCUCCAACCUUCCAAACCCUUGGGGCACAUGCAAGCACUGUGGAAAAACUCCAUUAAACCAAGAGUCAUCUUACUCCAGAUCCCAGACUGCUUGGGAAGUUGGACAUGCAUAUUCCCAAAGAGAACAGUGUUGGAAGGAGACAGGAGAGCAGCUCGGGGGUUGGGGGUAGAGGGUAGGAAAAGAGGGCAAGAUGGAUGACUACCACUCGAGGCCAGCCUCCACUGCCUGUUAGGGCAGUAGAACCUAAGAGCCGGUCCAAGGCAACACAAAAGACAGUGAGGCUAGGUCUUUCAUUGCAGCCAACGAUCAAGAAAGCAACUCCAUCAAAUGACACUGUCUUUUAAAAAAAAAUUUUUUUUUUGAGACAGAGUCUCGCUCUGUCGCCCAGGCUGGAGUGCAGUGGUGCGAUCUUGGCUCACUGCAACCUCUGCCACCCGGGUUCAAGCAGUUCUCCCUGCCUCAGCCUCCUGAGUAGCUGAGAUUACAGGCACGCGCUACCAGGCCCGGCUAAUUUUUUUUUUUUUUGGUGGAGUCGAGGUUUUGCCAUGUUGGCCACGUUGGUCUCGAAUUCCUGACCUCAGGUGAUCCGCCCAUCUCAGCCUCCCAAAGUGCUGGGAUUUCAAGCGUUAGCCACCGCGCCCGACCAAAUGACACUGUCUUAAAUGAUUUAAUGUCUUAAAUCGGGAAAGGAGAGUAAGAGAAAGCACUCAACGGAGUCAGAGGUGUCUUGCAGCCUAGCUCUUUCCACAGACAAGCUACAUGGGCCUAUCAUCUAACCUUUUCAAGCUUCUCCGACUGCUUCUGUGUUGGAGGGAUUUGGGCUAGAGGAUCUUUUUAUUUUUUUUUAUUUUAUUUUGGUGACGGAGUCUCUCACUGUCGCCCGGGCUGAAGUGCAGUGGCGCAAUCUCAGCUCACUGCAACCUCUUUCUCCUGGGUUCACGCGAUUCUCCUGCCUCAGCCUCCCAACUAGCUGGGAUUACAGGCGCACACCACCACACCUGGCCUAUUUUUUGUAUUUUUAGUAGAGACGGGGUUUCACUAUGUUGGCCAGACUGGUCUCGAACUCCUGACCUCGUGAUCUGCCCACCUCGGCCUCCCAAAGUGCUGUGAUUACAGGCAUGAGCCACCGCACCUGGCCUGUGAUCCCAUUUUUCAAAGUAAUUAGGCUGGGUGCAGUAGCUCACGCCUGUAAUCCCAGCACUCUGGGAGGCCAAAGCGGGUGGAUCACUUGAGGCCAGCAGUUCGAGACCAGCCUGGCCAACAUGGUGAAACCCUGUGUCUACUAAAAAUACAAAAAUUAGCUCGGCAUAGUGGCACGUACCUGUACUUUCAGCUACUUGGGAGGUUGAGGCAGGAGAAUUCGCUUGAACCCGGGAGGCAGAGGUUGCAGUGAGCCAAGAUGGCACCACUGCACUCCAUUCUGGGUGACAGAGUGAGACCCUGUCUCAAAAAUAAUGAUAAUAAAAUAAAAGUAAUUAUUUAAGGCUGGGAGCGGUGGCUCAUGCCUGUAAUCACAGCACUUUGGGAGGCCGAGGUGGGUGGAUCAUGAGGUCAGGAGGUCGAGACCAUCCUGUCUAACACAGUGAAACCCUGUCUCUACUAAAAAUACAAAAAAAUUAGCCAGGCAUGGUGGCGGGCGCCUGUAGUCCCAGCUACUCGGGAGGCUGAGGCAGGAGAAUCGCUUGAACCCAGAAGGCGGAGGUUGCAGUGAGCCGAGAUCGC
rnacentral:lncRNA from 1 species